CUCCAGUGGACCACAGAUGGUGGGAAUGUUCUUACGGAAACAGUGACUGUUACAUUUGCCUCACCACCUACAGAGGGGAGUUCACCAGGAGAAUCAGUCAUCACCAAAGUGGAAUCCAGUCAGACUGGGGAGAAUUUGCCUCCAGAGACAGCUCAGCUGCUGUCCUCACUCUCUUCACUCCAGCCCAAGAUCUUUGCACAGCUUCAGGGAUUACAGCUGCAGCCAACAUUCACCUCUAUGGAUGGAACAGCCCUGAUAGCCGUAAAUAACCAUUCUCCUCCCAGUCCUGCAAGUCUUCUGGAUUCCAUAGGGAGUGUGAUAACCAACCACUCUCUGGUACUCAGUCAGGGAUGCAACCUUCAUACAGCUGAAGAAAAUCCAGAGGAUACCAUUUGUGUGGGCCAAGUUAAACAAGAACCCAAAGAACAAGCAUUGUCUGGGGAGGCAGAGAUAAUCAGAGACUGCCAGAGUUCUGAAACCAUUUAAAUCCAUGAAGGCAUUAAGAAU
rnacentral:lncRNA from 1 species